rnacentral:lncRNA from 10 species
UGGUGGAGAAUGCAGAGUGCCAGGAGGGAAUGAGGGCCUUGUGAGAAGGCAUACCAGCUACUGAGAGCAAGCCAUAAAGGGAGGUGAGAGGAAUGUUGAGGACAAACUCCAACUGGUUCCAGUUUUCCUAGGGCACCAUCCAUUGGCUUAGAAGAAGGAUAAUAUAUGCUGUUUCCUCCCUCACGCCUCUCAUUCCUGCAAGGACUUCUCCCUUCCCCAACCAUUCAGACCUCAGGCAAACAAGAUCAAUGCUAUGACUCAACUCUUUUCUAGGAUGCAUUUGCUUUUGUUGUCUAGCCUGGAAACUUGAUCACUGAUCUUUUUUUUUUUUUUUUAAGAAAAAAGAGAUAUUCCCUAAUGCAAGUGGGGGAAAUGGGGACAAAACAGACUUUUAGGACAAAAUAAUUCUUAAGAUGUAAACAACCCAUCUAUAGUCAUGUAUCGUUUAACGACAAGAUAUGUCCUGAGAAAUACAUCAUUAGGCGAUUUCAUUGUGUGAACAUCAUGGAGUGUACUUAUAAAAACCUAGAUGAUUUCGCCCACUACACACCUAGGCUAUAUGGUAUAGCCUGUUGCUUCUAGGCAUUGGGAGCACGUGACUCUGCUGUGCAGCAUGUUAUGGUACUGAAUACCACAGGCAAUUGUAAUACAACAGUAUGUGUGUAUCUAAACACAUCUAAACAGAGAAGGUACAGUAUUAUAAUCU